rnacentral:tRNA from 1 species
GGCCAGGUAGCUCAGUUGGUAGAGCAGCGGACUGAAAAUCCGCGUGUCGGCGGUUCGAUUCCGUCCCCUGCCA